rnacentral:lncRNA from 1 species
CAGAGAAGCCGUCGCAUCCGAGAGCUCCGCCGCCGGUAAGUCUCAGUUUUUUGUGAUUUUUUGGCCCACCGAGGGCCCUAGGGUUGUUUUAUCACAGGAACAAAUGCAAGUUUGGCCGAAUUCGACCGAAAACAACCAACCCAAGGUGGAUUGCCGCUGCAGGCGGCGAUGCCGUUGUUGGAGUCCGAUAUUUGCCGAAAAGGGGCCCUGGGUCUUAUUUGGGGUUUUUUGGGACACGUACAGGUACCGGUAGUGCGUUUCAGUUUCCUAGAAAAAAUUCAGGGAAUUUAGGGACAGCCGUAGGCGUAUUGUAGAGCCGAUUUCAGACCCCGAAACAAGUAAGGAUCUCUCACCCUAUUUCUUAUCACGGUAUUAAAGGUUAAUAAAUGAUUAA